UACGUAGGGUGCAAGCGUUGUCCGGAAUUAUUGGGCGUAAAGAGCUCGUAGGCGGUUUGUCGCGUCUGCUGUGAAAACCCGAGGCUCAACCUCGGGCCUGCAGUGGGUACGGGCAGACUAGAGUGCGGUAGGGGAGAUUGGAAUUCCUGGUGUAGCGGUGAAAUGCGCAGAUAUCAGGAGGAACACCGAUGGCGAAGGCAGGUCUCUGGGCCAUAACUGACGCUGAGAAGCGAAAGCAUGGGGAGCGAACAGG
rnacentral:rRNA from 1 species